rnacentral:tRNA from 1 species
GGGGCUAUAGCUCAGUUGGUAGAGCGCCCGCAUGGCAUGCAGGAGGUCAGGAGUUCAAUUCUCCUUAGCUCCA